rnacentral:rRNA from 1 species
ACUACGAGCUAAGCUUAAAACCCAAAGGACUUGACGGUACCCCACAUCCCCCUAGAGGAGCCUGUCCUAUAAUCGAUAAUCCACGUUUAACCUCACCAUCUUUAGUUAAUCAGCCUGUAUACCUCCGUCGUCAGCUUACCACGUGAGCGUCAACUAGUGAGCCUAAUGUACUUCACCAAAACGUCAGGUCAAGGUGCAGCAAAUAAAAUGGGAAGAGAUGGGCUACACUUUCUACAAUAGAAAAAACGAAAAACUAUCUAUGAAAUCUAGUUAGAAGGCGGAUUUAGCAGUAAAAAGGAGUCAACAUAUCCCUUUUAACUCGGCA